rnacentral:rRNA from 1 species
GAUGAACGCUGGCGGCGUGCCUAAUACAUGCAAGUCGAGCGAACGGACGAGAAGCUUGCUUCUCUGAUGUUAGCGGCGGACGGGUGAGUAACACGUGGAUAACCUACCUAUAAGACUGGGAUAACUUCGGGAAACCGGAGCUAAUACCGGAUAAUAUUUUGAACCGCAUGGUUCAAAAGUGAAAGACGGUCUUGCUGUCACCUAUAGAUGGAUCCGCGCUGCAUUAGCUAGUUGGUAAGGUAACGGCUUACCAAGGCAACGAUGCAUAGCCGACCUGAGAGGGUGAUCGGCCACACUGGAACUGAGACACGGUCCAGACUCCUACGGGAGGCAGCAGUAGGGAAUCUUCCGCAAUGGGCGAAAGCCUGACGGAGCAACGCCGCGUGAGUGAUGAAGGUCUUCGGAUCGUAAAACUCUGUUAUUAGGGAAGAACAUAUGUGUAAGUAACUGUGCACAUCUUGACGGUACCUAAUCAGAAAGCCACGGCUAACUACGUGCCAGCAGCCGCGGUAAUACGUAGGUGGCAAGCGUUAUCCGGAAUUAUUGGGCGUAAAGCGCGCGUAGGCGGUUUUUUAAGUCUGAUGUGAAAGCCCACGGCUCAACCGUGGAGGGUCAUUGGAAACUGGAAAACUUGAGUGCAGAAGAGGAAAGUGGAAUUCCAUGUGUAGCGGUGAAAUGCGCAGAGAUAUGGAGGAACACCAGUGGCGAAGGCGACUUUCUGGUCUGUAACUGACGCUGAUGUGCGAAAGCGUGGGGAUCAAACAGGAUUAGAUACCCUGGUAGUCCACGCCGUAAACGAUGAGUGCUAAGUGUUAGGGGGUUUCCGCCCCUUAGUGCUGCAGCUAACGCAUUAAGCACUCCGCCUGGGGAGUACGACCGCAAGGUUGAAACUCAAAGGAAUUGACGGGGACCCGCACAAGCGGUGGAGCAUGUGGUUUAAUUCGAAGCAACGCGAAGAACCUUACCAAAUCUUGACAUCCUUUGACAACUCUAGAGAUAGAGCCUUCCCCUUCGGGGGACAAAGUGACAGGUGGUGCAUGGUUGUCGUCAGCUCGUGUCGUGAGAUGUUGGGUUAAGUCCCGCAACGAGCGCAACCCUUAAGCUUAGUUGCCAUCAUUAAGUUGGGCACUCUAAGUUGACUGCCGGUGACAAACCGGAGGAAGGUGGGGAUGACGUCAAAUCAUCAUGCCCCUUAUGAUUUGGGCUACACACGUGCUACAAUGGACAAUACAAAGGGCAGCGAAACCGCGAGGUCAAGCAAAUCCCGUAAAGUUGUUCUCAGUUCGGAUUGUAGUCUGCAACUCGACUACAUGAAGCUGGAAUCGCUAGUAAUCGUAGAUCAGCAUGCUACGGUGAAUACGUUCCCGGGUCU